rnacentral:piRNA from 1 species
CUGAAAGAGAUGGUGUCAUCGC